rnacentral:ncRNA from 1 species
AUUUUAAUAUAAAAUAAAUUUAUAUAAUAAAUAAAAUUUUAGUUUAUUCAAAUAUUACUUUAUUUAAAGUUUGAUUCUUGCUUAUAUGUUUCAUGUUUUUAUAAAAUUAUAUAUGGAUAUUUUGGUGUUAAUUAUGAUAUAAUUAAAAAUUUAGUAAUUUUGUUAAUAAUUUCAAUAUAUAGUACUAAUUAUAAAUGAAAAUUUGAUUUGAUUAUUAAAUUUGCUCUGGCUAAAUCCUGUGCCAGCAGCCGCGGUUAAACAUGGAGAGCUAGUGAAAUUGGUUAGGUUGUAAUAUAUAGUUUAAGAAAUACUUAGAUUUAUUUUAUAUUAUAAAGGGUAAAAUCAGAUUAUAUUGUUUGAUUUUUAUCUAAGUUUUAGAUAAAAAAUUGAUUUACAAAGAUUAAGCUGUAAACUAGGAUUAGAUACCCUAUUAUACUUAAUUGAAAAAAUAAAACCUGGUUUAUUAAUAGUUAUUUUCUUUAAAAUUAUAGAAUUUGGCGGUAUUUUAGUCUUUUUAGAGGAACCUGUUUUAUAAUCGAUACUCCACGAAGAAUUUUACUUAUUUUAUUAAUUUGUAUACCGUCAUUAUUAUAUAACUUUUAGAGAAAUAGAUAUUAAAAUUUAAUGUUUAAAGAAUAUUAGAUCAAGGUGCAGUUUAUAAAUAAGAAAAAAUGGGUUACAAUAAUAUUUAUUAUAUGAAUUAUAAUAUUAAAUUAUUAUAUGAAGGUGGAUUUAAUUGUAUAUUUUUUUUAAUAAGAAUUAUUUAUAUUGGCUCUAAAAUGUGUACAUAUCGCCCGUCGCUUUCAUAUUUAAGGUGAAAUAAGUCGUAACAUAGUAGGUUAACUGGAAAGUUUAUCUAGUAUAAU